rnacentral:rRNA from 1 species
UACGUAGGGGGCAAGCGUUGUCCGGAAUCAUUGGGCGUAAAGAGCGUGUAGGCGGCCAGAUAAGUCCGCUGUGAAAUCUCGAGGCUCAACUUCGAGCUGUCGGUGGAAACUGUCUGGCUAGAGUCCGGAAGAGGAGAAUGGAAUUCCUGGUGUAGCGGUGAAAUGCGUAGAGAUCCGGAGGAACACCAGAGGCGAAGGCGGCCUGCUGGGCUGCACCUGACGCUGAACCGCGAAAGCCAGGGGAGCGAACGGG